rnacentral:rRNA from 1 species
AUGAAGGAUAGAAAUAUGCUAUUUGCUGCUAUUCCAUCUAUUUGUGCAUCAAGUCUGAAGAAGAUCUCAAUCUAUAAUGAAGAAAUGAUAGUAGCUCGUUGUUUUAGAGGCUUUCUCAUAUUCAAUCGGAAGAGUUUAGGCAAGACUUUCAAACAAACUCUCAACGGGAAAAUCGAGUCUAUUCACAAAGAAUUGCAGCAAUUCUUCAAUCCUAAUGAAGUAAUUCCAGAGGAAUCCAAUGAACAACAACGAUUACUUAGGAUCACUUAUAUUUUGUUCUUAGGAAAUACAAAAUGCACAGUAUCGCAAAUUAGUUGUGGAGGCAUUAGGAAAAGAUCAGCAUGGAGGUAA